rnacentral:rRNA from 1 species
GAUAAAAGGAGGGGUGGACUUAUUGGAUCAGAUGGUGAGCAACUACACAUGUAAGCGGAGAACACGCAGGUGGCCUUUGGUGCUCUGGUACAAUAUGUUGGAUGUGGCGACUCUGAAUGCAUACACAAACUACACUCUAGAACAUCCGGAUUACCAUGCUGGUGUGAGCCACACACUCAGGCUAUUCAUCAAAAAAUUGUGCAAAGAGCUUGUCAUGCCACACAUGACAAGGCACCUGACAGACACGCUGAAUCUCCCAAGAAAUAUUAUUCAAGCAAUGGAAAGAUGUGGGUUACAAAAAGAAUGCGUAGCCACCACUGAACCACAAGAUGACAUCAGCCAAGCGCGCCAAAUGAAGAGGAAGAGAAAGAGGUGCGCUAUCUGCCCAUAUUCCAAAGACAGAAAAACUACAAGCUACUGUUCCGAGUGCACCCGGUCUGUGUGCAAGGAGCACAGAAAUGUAGUGGUCACCUGUGAUUUGUGCAAAGAUUAAGAUGACAAUUUGUUCUCAAGUGAUGUGACAAAAUUGCAAAUAAACAUGUUGAAUGUAUUCUGUUUGGUCUCACUCACUGCAAAAGGUCACACAGUCAUAGAACGACAAAAUUCAGCAGUCAGUGUAAUAAUAAACAUGUUUAUUAUGCCCUUUCAGUCAAAGUACUAAAGGUUUGCAGGGGUACCAGGGGCAUGAAGAGUGAGCUGGGGUACCAGGGGCACGAAGGGAGGAGACAAUUUUUUUUAAGUGUUUUUGGUGUUACAUAUCUGGCUAUUUUUCCAUUUUUUUCUCAUUUUACCCCCAACCUGCAUAUUUUUCUGACCCCCCCCGAGCAUUUUUCCCCUCACUCUGUCCCAGACUUUCCCCCUUUUUCGCUCAAGCCUCUCUCUCCCGGUCUCUCCCUCCCUCUCUCAUUCUCUGUCUCACACUCACUCUCAGCCUCGCUGCGGUUCGUGGCCAAAGACCCGGUCUGAGCAAAAGUGUGCCAGCAGGUUGAUAGAAAUGGUGUACCAUGGGCUCCAGAAGACCCACCGAGCUGGAGCUCGAUCUGUAACCCAGAGAUGAGGUGCUGCUCCUGGCUGUCAGCGAGAAGAUGCCUCGGUGUGCCAUAAAAUGACUCAGAGCGCAAAAUACCAACGACCGUGGGUGAAUCAGCUGUCCCAGAAGAAGCUGCGCGCAUUCUGUGUGCACCUUUAGACACAGGUCGGUGUGAUUGUAGCUCCAGAAGAGGAGCGGAGCCGUCUGUGCGCCCGUAGAAGAAAUGAAACUCUCCCUCAGCUGUCAGUGAGAAGAUGCCUCGGUGUGCCAUAAAAUGACUCAGAGCGUAAAAUACCAGCGACCAUGAGUGAAUCGGCUCUAGCCAGAAAUAGAUGCAGAUGUCCUGAUGAAGAAGCAUGAAAAAAAUGGUAAAAAGCACUCUGGACUGGGGUACCAGGAGCACGAAGAAAGUACUGUCGUACCAGGGGCACGAAGAAACUACUGUCGUACCAGGGGCACGAAGAAAACAUUGGGGUACCAGGUGCAUGAAGACAGCAUUUUCUUCAAAGUAUUUUCUGCGUUUCGGGGCCGGCUUUUUCUCACCUUUUCCUCUCCGCGCCCCCCGACCUGCCUAUUUUUCUGACUCGGCCCCCCUCCCCAAGCAUUUUUUCCCUCACUCUUUCCCAGACUUUCCCCCUUUUUCACUCACGUUUAACCUGAUUUUCCCGGUCUCUCCCUCUCACUCUCCCUCUCACUCUAGCCUGGCUCCAUAGGAAAGCAUUGGGGUACCAGGGGCACGAAGGCAGCAAUUUCUUCAAAGUGUUUUCUGUGCUUCGGGGCCGGCCUUUUCUUGCCUUUUCCUCUCCGCGCCCCUCGACCUGCCUAUUUUUCUGACCCCCCCCCCCCGCCGCAUGAAUGGAUGAACGAGAUUCCCACUGUCCCUACCUACUAUCUAGCGAAACCACAGCCAAGGGACGGGCUUGGCAGAAUCAGCAGGGAAAGAAGACCCUGUUGAGCUUGACUCUAGUCUGGCACUGUGAAGAGACAUGAGAGGUGUAGAAUAAGUGGGAGGCCUUGGCCGACGGUGAAAUACCACUACUCUUAUCAUUUUUUCAUUUACCCGGUGAGGCAGGGAGGCGAGCCCCGAGCGGGCUCUCGCUCCUGGCGUCAAGCGACCCACUCUGGGGACAGUGGCAGGUGGGGAGUUUGACCGGGGCAGUACACCUGUCAAACAGUAAUGCAGGUGUCCUAAGGCGAGCUCAAGGAGGACAGAAACCUCCUGUGGAGCAGAAGGGCGAAAGCUCGGUUGAUCUUGAUUUUCAGUAUGAAUACAGACCGUGAAAGUGGGGCCUCAUGAUCCUUCUGACUUUUUGGGUUUUAAGUAGGAGGUGUCAGAAAAGUUACCACAGGGAAAACUGGCUUGUGGCAGCCAAGCGUUCAUAGCGACGUCGCUUUCUGAUCGUUCGAUGUCGGCUCUUCCUAUCAUUGUGAAGCAGAAUUCACCAAUUCACCCACUAAUAGGGAAUGUGAGCUGGGUUUAGACCUCCGUGAGACAGGUUAGUUUUACCCUACUGAUGAUGUGUUGUUGCAAUAGUAAUCCUGCUCAGUACGAGAGGAACCGCAGGUUCAGACAUUUGGUGUAUGUGCUUGGUUGAGGAGCCAAUGGUGCGAAGCUACCAUCUGUGGGAUUAUGACUGAACGUCUCUAAGUCAGAAUCCCGCCUAGAUGUGACGAUACCGUAACGCCGUGGAUCUUCGGUUGGUCCCGGAUAGCCAGCCCCCUGGGCCGGCGCGGAGAGCCGCUCGUGACAGGGCUGGGGCGCGGCCGGAUGAUGGUUGCCCCUAUCUUGCCUCGCAUCGCAUGUUUGUGGAGAACCUGGUGCUAAAUCACUUGCAGACGACCUGAUUCUGAGUCAGGGUGUCGUACGUAGCAGAGCAGCUCCCUCGCUGCGAUCUAUUGAAAGUCAUCCCU